rnacentral:ncRNA from 1 species
CAAAGGUUUGGUCCUGGCCUUACUGUUAAUUGUAGUUAGACCUACACAUGCAAGUUUCCGCUGCCCGGUGAAAAUGCCCUCAAAAUUUAAAACUAAAUCAACAGGAGCGGGUAUCAGGCACACUCAUAAGUAGCCCACAACGCCUUGCUUUACCACACCCCCACGGGAUACAGCAGUGACUAAUAUUAAGCUAUAAACGAAAGUUUGACUAAAUCAUAACUAACUAGGGUUGGUAAAUCUCGUGCCAGCCACCGCGGUCAUACGAUUAACCCAAAUUAACAGACGAACGGCGUAAAGGGUGUUUAAGCUAAAACACAUACACAAUAAAGCUAAGAGUGGGAUUAGAUACCCCACUAUGCUUAGCCUUAAACCAAGGUAAUUAAAUAACAAAACUACUCGCCAGAGAACUACUAGCCAAUGCUUAAAACUCAAAGGACUUGGCGGUGCCCUAAACCCACCUAGAGGAGCCUGUUCUAUAAUCGAUAAACCCCGAUAAACCCCACCUUUUCUUGCCAAUUCAGCCUAUAUACCGCCAUCGUCAGCUAACCCCAGCAGGGAUAAAAAGUAAGCAAGAUCAUUAACCAUAAAAACGUUAGGUCAAGGUGUAGCAUAUGAAAAGGAAAGUAAUGGGCUACAUUUUCUAAAUUAGAACACAACGAAUUAUCUCAUGAAACCUGAGCAAUAUGAAGGAGGAUUUAGUAGUAAAUUAAGAAUAGAGAGCUUAAUUGAAAUAGGCAAUAGGGCGCGCACACACCGCCCGUCACCCUCCUCGACAAAACCUUACAAAUAACUAAUAAAAUAAAAUACAAAAGAGGAGAAAAGUCGUAACAUGGUAAGUGUACUGGAAGGUGCACUUGGAACAUC